GUGGGGAAUUUUGGACAAUGGGCGAAAGCCUGAUCCAGCCAUGCCGCGUGCAGGAUGAAGGCCUUCGGGUUGUAAACUGCUUUUGUACGGAACGAAAAGACUCCUUCUAAUAAAGGGGGUCCAUGACGGUACCGUAAGAAUAAGCACCGGCUAACUACGUGCCAGCAGCCGCGGUAAUACGUAGGGUGCAAGCGUUAAUCGGAAUUACUGGGCGUAAAGCGUGCGCAGGCGGUUAUAUAAGACAGAUGUGAAAUCCCCGGGCUCAACCUGGGAACUGCAUUUGUGACUGUAUAGCUAGAGUACGGUAGAGGGGGAUGGAAUUCCGCGUGUAGCAGUGAAAUGCGUAGAUAUGCGGAGGAACACCGAUGGCGAAGGCAAUCCCCUGGACCUGUACUGACGCUGAGGUACGAAAGCAUGGGGAGCAAACAGGAUUAGAAACCCCGGUAGUCC
rnacentral:rRNA from 1 species